CCCUUAGAUGUUCUGGGCCGCACGCGUGCUACACUGAGUGGAUCAGCGGGUCAGGUUGCGCGAAAGUGUUUCCUAAUCUUGAAAUCCGCUCGUGAUGGGGAUUGACGGUUGCAAUUUUCCGUCAUGAACGAGGAAUUCCUAGUAAGCGCGAGUCAUCAGCUCGCGUUGAUUACGUCCCUGCCCUUUGUACACACCGCCCGUCGCUACUACCGAUUGAAUGGUUUAGUGAGGACUCCUGAUUGGCGCCGCCGCCCCGGCAACGGAGCAGCGGACUGCCGAAAAGUUGUUCAAACUUGAUCAUUUAGAGGAGGUAAAAGUCGUAACA
rnacentral:rRNA from 1 species